UUGUCUUGUAAUUGGAAUGAUGGUGACCCAAACCCUCACCAGAGUAGCAAUUGGAGGGCAAGUCUGGUGCCAGCAGCCGCGGUAAUUCCAGCUCCAAUAGCGUAUAUUAAACUUGUUGCAGUUAAAAAGCUCGUAGUUGUAUUUUUGCGUUGACGGUUUGACCAUUUGGUUGGUUAUUUCGUUUUCGCUUUUGGGAAUUUCCCUUUUUACUUUGAGAAAAUUAGAGUGUUUCAAGCAGACUUUUGUCUUGAAUACUUCAGCAUGGAAUAAUAGAGUAGGACUUUGGUUCUAUUUUGUUGGUUAUUGAACCUUAGUAAUGGUUAAUAGGAACGGUUGGGGGCAUUCGUAUUUAACUGUCAGAGGUGAAAUUCUUAGAUUUGUUAAAGACGAACUACUGCGAAAGCAUUUGCCAAGGACGUUUCCAUUAAUCAAGAACGAAAGUA
rnacentral:rRNA from 1 species